GAGAAAUCUCCAGAGUGAGUCUGACCCAGAGUGGCCCUGUCUGUUGCAGAUUCGAGGUCAUAGUGCACUGGGGAGGGUUCCAAGCAUGCGAGCCCUGCAGCGGCGCUGUCAGUAACCAGAGUCUGCCCUUGGGAUUGGAGGGCAGGGCGCCGCAGAGGCCAUCUCCGGUCGGCUUCUAUUUUGUGUCCCUGGAAUCUGGGAGCAGUCGGGGCUGGCACCAGUAACUGCCUGCACUUCUUCCAAUCCUCACAUCGGGAGGAGAGUUGGUGAAGUUCCGUGGGCUUGGACAGAACCAGCACAGCUGCCAAAGCCCCGAAGGAGUCCAAGCUGCCGUGGUAUUCGAGGAUGAUGUUCAGUGACUGCGUGGGGUUUCCCUCAGGUCAAGCUCCUCAGACUCCUGCCAGAGCUUUCAAGGCAGCGGCCCUGAUCCAGAGGUGGUACUGGCGCUAUGUGGCCCGGCUGGAGAUGCGGCGGCGCUGCACCUGGAGCAUCUUCCAGUCCAUAGAGUACGCCGGGCAGCAGGACCAGGGCCAGGUGUGGCCUGGCGGCGCCUCCACCUGCCUCCCAGCCUCGGGCAGUGACUGGGACCCCCUGCACCUUUCCACUUGGUUUCUAAAGCCGGGUCCCCUGCUUCCUCUGCAGCUGCACGAGUUCUUCAGCUACCUCGUGAGUCACUUCACUCCCAGCAGCCGCCAUGAGAGGGACCUCCUGAGCCGCAUGCUGACUGAGCAGAGCUGUCCGCAGGAUGCGGAGCUGGAGACCUGCGGUGACUACAAAGCCAUCGAGGUGCCCGCCAACUACACAGGGCCGCGCCUGUCCUUCCCGCUGCUUCCCAGCCAUGCCACUGCCCUGGUGGAAGCUUUCAGGCUGAAACAAGUGAGCUCAGGGGCCCAGCCCCAUGUGAGCGGCCCACACAGAAAGCUCCUGCUCGGGCGUCUGGGUUAA
rnacentral:lncRNA from 1 species